rnacentral:rRNA from 1 species
UAAGGUGGUUAUAGCGACGGGGCUCACCUCUUACCAUUCCGAACAGAGAAGUUAAGCCCGUUUGCGCCGAUGGUACUACAUCCUUGUGGAAGAGUAGGUCGCCGCCUUCC